UAGGGAAUCUUCGGCAAUGGACGAAAGUCUGACCGAGCAACGCCGCGUGAGUGAAGAAGGUUUUCGGAUCGUAAAACUCUGUUGGUAGAGAAGAACGUUGGUGAGAGUGGAUAAGCUCAUCAAGUGACGGUAACUACCCAGAAAGGGACGGCUAACUACGUGC
rnacentral:rRNA from 1 species